UACGUAGGGUCCGAGCGUUGUCGGAUUUACUGGGCGUAAAGAGCUCGUAGGCGGUCUGUCACGUCUGCUGUGAAAACUCGGGGCUUAACCCCGGGCCUGCAGUGGGUACGGGCAGACUAGAGUGCGGUAGGGGAGACUGGAAUUCCUGGUGUAGCGGUGAAAUGCGCAGAUAUCAGGAGGAACACCGGUGGCGAAGGCGGGUCUCUGGGCCGUAACUGACGCUGAGGAGCGAAAGCGUGGGGAGCGAACAGG
rnacentral:rRNA from 1 species